rnacentral:rRNA from 1 species
UACGAAGGGGGCUAGCGUUGCUCGGAAUUACUGGGCGUAAAGCGCACGUAGGCGGCUUUUUAAGUCGGAGGUGAAAUCCUGGAGCUCAACUCCAGAACUGCCUUCGAUACUGAAGAGCUCGAGUCCGGGAGAGGUGAGUGGAACUGCGAGUGUAGAGGUGAAAUUCGUAGAUAUUCGCAAGAACACCAGUGGCGAAGGCGGCUCACUGGCCCGGUACUGACGCUGAGGAGCGAAAGCAUGGGGAGCGAACAGG